rnacentral:rRNA from 1 species
AGAGUUUGAUCUCGGCUCAGAUUGUUACGCUGGCGGCAGGCUGUUACACAUGCAAGUCGAACGGUGGACAGCGAAGGAAGCUUGCGUUUCUUUGCUGACGAGUGGCGGACGGGUGAGUAAUGCUUGGGAAUCUGGCUUAUGGAGGGGGAUAACUACGGGAAACUGUAGCUAAUACCGCGUAAUAUCUUCGGAUUAAAGGGUGGGACCGUAAGGCCACCUGCCAUAAGAUGAGCCCAAGUGGGAUUAGGUAGUUGGUGGGGUAAAGGCCUACCAAGCCGACGAUCUCUAGCUGGUCUGAGAGGAUGACCAGCCACACUGGAACUGAGACACGGUCCAGACUCCUACGGGAGGCAGCAGUGGGGAAUAUUGCACAAUGGGGGGAACCCUGAUGCAGCCAUGCCGCGUGAAUGAAGAAGGCCUUCGGGUUGUAAAGUUCUUUCGGUGAUGAGGAAGGUGUUUGUUUUAAUAGAGCAAGCAAUUGACGUUAGUCACAGAAGAAGCACCGGCUAACUCCGUGCCAGCAGCCGCGGUAAUACGGAGGGUGCGAGCGUUAAUCGGAAUGACUGGGCGUAAAGGGCACGCAGGCGGUGACUUAAGUGAGAUGUGAAAGCCCCGAGCUUAACUUGGGAAUUGCAUUUCAUACUGGGUCGCUAGAGUAUUUUAGGGAGGGGUAGAAUUCCACGUGUAGCGGUGAAAUGCGUAGAGAUGUGGAGGAAUACCGAAGGCGAAGGCAGCCCCUUGGGAAUAUACUGACGCUCAUGUGCGAAAGCGUGGGGAGCAAACAGGAUUAGAUACCCUGGUAGUCCACGCUGUAAACGCUGUCGAUUUGGGGAUUGGGCUUUAAGCUUGGUGCCCGUAGCUAACGUGAUAAA